AUGCGGUUAGAUUCUGGAAUUCAAAGAAAUGAGAGGACCGUGAGCGAGUUGGAACAAGCAGCAGGCAAUAACAAAAAUUCACGCACACGGCAGGGUCAAGAAGUUUAGCUUCUGUAGCUGAGGCCGAGGAAGUCAAAUUUGGACAAAAAGUUAGAAGCCUUCAGCUUU